rnacentral:rRNA from 1 species
UACGAAGGGUCCUAGCGUUGUUCGGAAUCACUGGGCGUAAAGCGCAUGUAGGUGGUUUGGUAAGUCAGGUGUGAAAGCCUCGGGCUCAACCCGAGAAGUGCAUUUGAUACUGCUGAACUUGAGUAUGUGAGAGGGUAGUAGAAUUCCUGGUGUAGUGGUGAAAUACGUAGAUAUCAGGAGGAAUACCGGUGGCGAAGGCGGCUACCUGGCACAAUACUGACACUGAGAUGCGAAAGCGUGGGGAUCAAACAGG